UCCCGUGUGGCUCAGUUGGUAGAGCAUGGUGUUUGCAACACCAGGGUUGUGGGUUCGAUUCCCACGGGAA
rnacentral:tRNA from 1 species